rnacentral:rRNA from 1 species
AUUGAACGCUGGCGGCAGGCCUAACACAUGCAAGUCGAGCGAGCGGCGGACGGGUGAGUAAUGUCUGGGAAACUGCCUGAUGGAGGGGGAUAACUACUGGAAACGGUAGCUAAUACCGCAUACCAUCAGAUGUGCCCAGAUGGGAUUGGCUAGUAGGUGGGGUAACGGCUCACCUAGGCGACGAUCCCUGGCUGGUCUGAGAGGAUGACCAGCCACAGUGGAACUGAGGAACGGCCCAGACUCCUACGGGAGGCAGCGUGGGGGAAUAUUGCACAAUGGGCGCAAGCCUGAUGCAGCCAUGCCGCGUGUGUGAAGAAGGCCUUCGGGUUGUAAAGCACUUUCAGCGGGGAGGCGUUACCCGCAGAAGAAGCACCGGCUAACUCCGUGCCAGCAGCCGCGGUAAUAC